rnacentral:lncRNA from 10 species
GGUCUCACUCCCACAGUGCCUCCCCUAACAGCACCAAAUCUGUUUCCAGGCAGUGGGCAAGCAGGGCUGAGAAUUGCCCCAGACUACCCACCUCCCAGCUGCAAAGGAAAAGGGCUCAGUUCUUCCCCCACCUGUGGAGUCUGCAUGCUGGAUUCCCGUUCUCCCCAGAGUUCUGGCCAGGAGGCUUCUUGCCUGGUUCAAAUUGUUAUGAAGUUCAGCUGGAGACUUCCUUCUCCCUGUGGCAUUUUCCCCACACCUCUAGCUGCCCUCCUGAAGGAUCCUGGUGGUGCCAGGAGCAGUCUGCUUCCUUCAAGAGGGUCUGUGGGUCCUCUCGGCAUUCCUGGUUUAUUCCUGCAGUUGUUCUGGAGCUAAAAUUCAUGAUGUGAGCCUCCGUAUGCUGCUCUGUCUGUCCAAGUCGGAGCUGCAAUCUGGUUCUGCCUCCUGUCUGCCGUGGUGAUCCCUGUUGUAGUUUCUGUGUGUCUUCUUUUGAGAAAUGCCUUGCGCCCUCCCGCUCUUCCAGGAUAACUCAGGGCCUCCAUCUCCUCCUUUGAAAACUGUAAGUGACAUCUACCUCCAGGUCAUAUUUAAUACCUUUCACAACUGGUAUGUCCCAGGCCACUGAGAAUAGAAGUGGAUUAUAAAUAAUUCAUUAGGACUUACCGGUGCCAACCAUCUGAAUAUCAGCCCUCUUGGGGUUAAAUUAAGUGAGUUAAGUGAGAAUUAAGUGAGGUAAUGUGCUUGGCACAGUAAUAUGAAGUGGCUAUAGGGUUAUCCUCAUGGUCCUGGAUGCCCAGAACGUGAAUGGUCUCACUGAGAUUACAUGAGGUGCCAGUGGGCAGCAGCCUGCGAUGAGACUCUGUGAACACACCCAAGGCCUUAAAGGAGAGAGAAUGCUGUGGCACUCUCAGAGAAGAAACCCAGGAUGCUUUGGGGAAGAGGCUGGCAGCCUGGUCUUGUUUUCUGCACGUGGAGGCCUCUGGACCAUGCACCUGACUAUCAAGCCUGUACAGAAGGCAGAGGCGAGGCAGGAGUUAAGCGGUCUGUGAAGGAGGAGACCUGCUCUAUUUCUCAGCUGUUGUUCUGUUGAAACAGGUGGAUGAGUUUGAGCCUGAAAGGUAAUAAGUAAAGGAGAAAGACUGGGAGCACUAGGCUCUGGGAUGCCCUCUGCAUGAGAAAGAUGGGCACUAAACCUGUCUGAGGGGAAGGUGUAGACAGAAAUAAACACGCCACAGCCUGGAGUCCAGAACCUUGAAAGUUUAAUGAGAACAGUUAGUGAAGCACUGCCCUGUGAUUCAUCUCCUCACAAACAACACUUAAAUCACGUAGGAUCAGGGUAGACAACGAUCAUUUCAUUUAGCUACUUAAAGGUUAUUUGGAACUCUUAAUAGCAUGUUGUCAAUAGGACCUGGCUUCUAAAUCCAGGCAGAUAAAAGUCCAUUCGUUCCCCAGAGUGGAGGACUUAGGAUCUAAGCCAACUCCAUAAGCCUGAUGCACCUGAAUACGUGAGAAAAGGCAAAAGGAGAUGGGAGUGAAGGGAGUUGAAGGGAGUUGCUGUGGUUUUGUGGGGUUUUUUUUUUUUUUACUUUUAAAAAAUUAUUUUAUUUUUUCAUGAUCGCCUCCCAAUAAGUCUUAGAAAAGUAAUAUUGAGGCCAGUGUUAUUUUAUUUUUUCAUGAUCGCCUCCCAAUAAGUCUUAGAAAAGUAAUAUUGAGGCCAGGCGCAGUGGCUCACGCCUGCAAUCCCAGCACUUUGGGAGGCCAAGGCGGGCAGAUCACUUGAGGUCAGGAGUUUGAGACCUGUUCGAGCCUGGCCAACAUGGCAAAACCUCAUCUCUACUAAAAAUACAAAAAUUAGCUGGGCAUGGUUGUGGGUGCCUGCAGACCCAGCUACUCAGGAGGCUGAGGCAGGAGGAUCACUUGAACCCAGGAGGCAGAUGUUGUAGUGAGCUGAGAUCGUGCCUGUGCACUCCAGCCUAGGUGACAGAGUGAGACUCCAUCUCACGUUCCUCCCCUUCACCUCCACCUGAUUAUUCAUGUCGUGAAGAAACUGGUCUACUUGUCCUGUAGAAUCGCCCGUAUUGUGGAUUUGGCCAUUGCUUCUACAUGAUGAUAAGAGAAUGUUACAUUAGCAGAGACAUCCAUUAAACAGGAGAGCUGAGGCCAUCUGACGCUGAGAAUCACAAUAACAGGGACAAAGCCAAAAGGGAAGGAAAAUGGGGGCCAAAAUGGUGAGGGGAGCCAAAAAGCGUGAGAAGAAGCACGCUCAGCCUCACUGGCUCCUGACUUCUCUCUGAGUGAGUU